UUUGACAUGCCGGUUACCAUACAAUCACCAAAAUUAAGCAACAUUGAUCCAGUUCAGUACCUAGAUGGGUGACCACUUGGGAAUACCAGGUGCUGUAAG